rnacentral:rRNA from 1 species
AUGCCCUCCUCCUCCUCCUUGCAUUCCGUGCCAAGCCAUUCAGAUCCACUCCCUCCUCCCCUCGAUCCACCCAAGCCCAAUCGAUCCAACCUCCUCGCUCUCCUCGUCGACCAGGGAGACGAGCUCCUCCCGAGCGUCCCCUCCUCACCUCGUCGCCCGAUGACCAGCGCCGUUGCCGGCGACCACCACCAGGAACAGCGCCGCGCCGCCCUUUUCCCUUCCCUUUUUUUCCUGCCUUCUUCUCGUUCUCCUCUGCUUCCCUCUCCCCGUAACUCUCUCUCUCCCUCGCCUUGGACAGGGGAACCGAAGGAAGCCGCCGCCGACCUCCUCCGUCACGUCUCAGUGCCGUGGCCUCGCCUCUGCUUCGAGCAGGUGAAGGAGACACGUCAGUUUCGAUCCAGCCUGCCUCCUCUCCUCGCGCCGCUGCAGGCUCCCUGCAUCCGCCACCGCUGCCGCCUUCGGCCACCAUUCGUCAAGCCAGGGACCAUCCUCGCCAGCCUCCAGUUCGCCUCGCCCGCGCCGGGGUUUCCCAAGCCGCGUCCUCGCAGGAGCCGUCACCCCGCCAAGUCCCUCGUCCCGCCUCGGCUUGCCCGCUUCGCCAGCGCCAAGUCCCGCUGGCCUUCCCGUCCAGUGCCGCCGCUGCUCUGCUCCCUGACGAGCAGAGGAUCGCACCAGCUUCAGUGCCCCUCCGCGCGUGGCCCAGAUCCAGCAGGUCCAGCCUGCCUCCCCAGCUGCGCCUAUCCUCUCCACAAGCCGGCCCAUGAGGCCCAUGCUUUGGUUUCGUUCCGGAGUUGUGAGGAUCCGUUCGACUACGUCCGUUUAUCUUCUUCAUGGACUCGUUCUUCUUCCUUGCGGGAUUUCAGCUUGCAGGUGCCGUUGAAUCGUGCAGAUGACGCAACCAAGAUCAAGGAGGAGCUCGAUGAAGAUCUUGUCAUUUGUGUUGUUUCGCUCUAG